CACCAGGUUGAUUCUGCCUGACGAGGAUGCUUGUCUCUGGGAUUAAGCCAUGCAAGUCUGGUGAAGCGAAAGUGGAACUGCGAACGGCUCAGUAGAACGGUGAUUAUUUAAUCGUGUAGGAAGGAUAACCGCGGGAAACUGUGGCUAAUAACACGAGUAAGACGCCGACCCAUCAGUUUUAUCGUACGGUAAGGGCGUACGAUGGCUUUAACGGGUACGGGGGAUCAGGGUUUGAUUCCGGAGAGGGAGCCUGAGAAACGGCUACCAGGUCUAAGGACAGCAGCAGGCGCGAAACUUGCCCAAUUGGAGAGAGGCAGUUAUGAGACGUAUAUUUUGUAACCGGGGUAGAAUACCGGUGAUUGACUGGAGGGCAAGUCUGGUGCCAGCAGCCGCGGUAAUUCCAGCUCCAGGAGUGUCAUAGUGCAUUGCUGCAUUUAAAAGGUCCGUAGUCAGUGUUGACAGGGAUGCUAGAAGACACUUUCUUCAUGGAGUGUAUUGGCAUUCUAGGUUAGCAUGUGAGAGCGGAAGAGGGCGACUGUAUUGCGUAGCGAGAGGUGAAAGUUGACGACCUACGUAGGACAAACCGAAGCGAAAGCUGUCGUCCAGUACGUAGCCGGUGAUCAAGGACGUAAGCCGGASGAGCAAAGGUGAUUAAAGACCCCUGUAGUUCCGGCCGUAAACUAUGCCAACUGGGUGUUACGUAGUGGUACCCACGAGAAAUCAAGUAUAUGGGCUAUGGGGAUAGUNCGAUCGCAAGAUUGAAACUUGAAGAAGUUGACGGAAGGACACCACCAGGAGUGGAAUGUGCGGCUUAAUUUGACUCAACGCGGGCACAACUUAUCAGGGCCAGUUGUAUGACGAAUCUAUGAUGAAUACGACUAAGUGGUGCAUGGCCGUUCACAACAUAUGAGGCGACUUUUAGGUUUAUUGCUGUAAUGUGUGAGACCCUCAGCUACGGCGACUGGGGACUAUAAGUUUCAGGAAGGAGGGGGCUAUAACAGGUCUGUGAUGCCCUUAGAUGUUCUGGGCUGCACGCGCACUACAAUGUUAUUUCUAGGUAUAUUGUAAAGAUAAAGGAUAACUCGGUUGGGAUUGCGUUCUGUAAUGGACGCAUGAACCAGGAAUUCCUAGUAGUCGCGUGUCACUAACGGGCGACGACUGCGUCCCUGUUCUUUGUACACACCGCCCGUCGUUAUCUAAGAUGGUGCUAUGUUCGAAGAGGGUUUUCCUUCUGAGGACGUAGGAUUAGAUUGGAUACAAGUCGUAACAAGGUUGCUGUAGGAGAACCAGCAGCAGGAUCAUAA
rnacentral:rRNA from 2 species